rnacentral:rRNA from 1 species
ACGUGGAUUAAUGCCUGAUAGUCUCUACGGAGUAAAUGGUGCCUUCUGGUAUCGCUAGAGGAUGGGCUCGCGGCCUAUCAGCUUGUUGGUGAGGUAAAGGCUCACCAAGGCGACGACGGGUAGCUGGUCUGAGAGGACGAUCAGCAACACUGGAACUGAGACACGGUCCAGACACCUACGGGUGGCAGCAGUCGAGAAUCAUUCACAAUGGAGGCAACUCUGAUGGUGCAACGCCGCGUGGAGGAUGACGGUCCUAGGAUUGUAAACUCCUGUCAUUGGGGAGUAAGACUUAAGCGUUAAGAGCGUUUAAGUUUGAUAGUACCCAAAGAGGAAGGGACGGCU